AAGGAUCAUUACAAGUGAGGCUACCGAACGUUGGAAACAGCGGUUAGGAGCUUACACCCACCCGUGUCUACAUACUAUUGUUGCUUUGGCGGGCCGUGGCCUCCACUGCGGGCUCUGCUCGUGUGUGCCCGCCAGAGAACCAAACUCUGAAUGUUAGUGAUGUCUGAGUACUAUCUAAUAGUUAAAACUUUCAACAACGGAUCUCUUGGUUCUGGCAUCGAUGAAGAACGCAGCGAAAUGCGAUAAGUAAUGUGAAUUGCAGAAUUCAGUGAAUCAUCGAAUCUUUGAACGCACAUUGCGCCCUGUGGUAUUCCGCAGGGCAUGCCUGUUCGAGCGUCAUUUAACCACUCACGCCUAGCGUGGUAUUGGGGCACGCGGUCUCCGCGGCCCUCAAAAUUAGUGGCGGCGCCGGUGGGCUCUAAGCGUAGUACAUACUCCCGCUAUAGAGUUCCCCCGGUGGCUCGCCAGAACCCCCAAUUUUUACAGGUUGACCUCGGAUCAGGUAGGGAUACCCGCUGAACUUAA
rnacentral:misc_RNA from 1 species